UACGUAGGGUGCAAGCGUUGUCCGGAAAUAUUGGGCGUAAAGAGCUCGUAGGCGGUUCGGCAAGUCACGUGUGAAAUCUCCACGCUCAACGUGGAGGCGCCACGUGAGACUGCUGUGACUCGAGUCCGGUAGGGGAGCGUGGAAUUCCCGGUGUAGCGGUGAAAUGCGCAGAGAUCGGGAGGAACACCCGUAGCGAAGGCGGCGCUCUGGGCCGGUACUGACGCUGAGGAGCGAAAGCGUGGGGAGCAAACAGG
rnacentral:rRNA from 1 species